CAGAGAAGCUCUCUUUUCCAUUUUGUGCAGCUUUUUAUCUUCCUGUGUAUCUCCUGAGCUCUUCAUGAUGAUCACACACAGACACAUUCAGCUCUUGCAGCAGCUCCCACUCUCAGCCUUCCUCACAGCUAAACAAGACCAGCCUAAACUUUGUGAAAAGGAAAACUCCUCCAGCUGAUGCAACGGCUGAGUCAACUUUCCAAUGAUUGACCAUAUUCAUAAGCACAUCACGGAAACAUACGUGCUGUAUAACUGGUUGUUUGUGAGAUCAGAAUGAAGUGACCAGUUUCAUUGCUGGGAUGUAGCUUCUUGGAAAAUCAGCCUGAUUAAAGGGAGUAAAGAGCUGCCACACCGACCCCCUUCCUCCAUGCUUUCACAGAGAUCUUUGAGAGCUGCUUUGUUUCUACCGCCAAUCUGAUUCCAUUAGCCGCUCCAGCGCACAAACACACUCUUGUUUUACUUAACAGUGUUUCCAUUUUUUAAAAGGGUAAAAUUAAAAUCUAAAAGUCCUGAUGAAAGCUCACAGGACCGUCACCAGGAACCUUCCAGCAGCUCAUCAACUUUUCUGGGCAGAAUCUACCAGUGGCCAUACUGAAAACCUGGUUGUGAUUAUCAUACGGAAAGCUCAGUGGAAGCAGAAAGCAAUGCAUAGAACUACAGUCUACAUAAAG